AAGAAAAGAGUGCACUGACUGCAAUUGAUUGCUAUGCUUGCUUGAUCCACGUAGCAAUACAGGAGCACUAACAGUAAGUUGAUUUGGGGUGGCAAAAAAAUGGAAAUGAAAAACAGGGCCGAGGUUCAGUGCAGCAGAGCUUUAGGAACGUCUUCUCCAAAAGUCCCAGGACAAUCCGGCCUGUGACAACCAAGGAUUCUUCUAGCGUUAGUAGGAUCUAGAGCAUCAAGCAUCAGUAAUUAAUAAUUAACAGUGGCUUGAACAAAGGAAUCGUCAAGUGAAGUUCAUUACCACUGUGAAGGUGAUCUAGCAGCUGUAAACGGCAUGCCCUGGCGCCAGUUGCAAGCUUUGUUCUUUUUUUUUUCGUUUCGAGAUGCAAUGCAAGUCCAUGCAGCGGUCCCUUCUUUCAUGUUCCCCUUCCUUGCUUUCUUGUUCGACGAACGGUCAGGGCUCCUCGUCCCCACCGCUUCCGGUAAGAUC
rnacentral:lncRNA from 1 species